UACGUAGGUGGCAAGCGUUGUCCGGAUUUACUGGGCGUAAAGAGCGCGCAGGCGGCCGGAUAAGUCGAAUGUGAAAGCCCCCGGCUCAACUGGGGAGGGUCAUUCGAUACUGUUCGACUCGAAGGCAGGAGAGGGAAGUGGAAUUCCCGGUGUAGUGGUGAAAUGCGCAGAUAUCAGGAGGAACACCAAUGGCGAAGGCAGCUCGCUGGAACGGAACUGACGCUGAGGCGCGAAAGCGUGGGGAGCGAACAGG
rnacentral:rRNA from 1 species